UUGGAGGGCAAGUCUGGUGCCAGCAGCCGCGGUAAUUCCAGCUCCAAUAGCGUAUAUUAAAGUUGUUGCAGUUAAAAAGCUCGUAGUUGAAUUUCGGGAUUAAUUUAUUGGUCGUGCCUUCGGUAUGCACUGGUGUCACUGGUUUCUCCCUUCUGAAGAACCGUCAUGUCAUUAAGUUGGUGUGGCGGGGAAUCAGGACUGUUACUUUGAAAAAAUUAGAGUGUUUAAAGCAGGC
rnacentral:rRNA from 1 species